GUGGGGAAUUUUGGGCAAUGGGCGAAAGCCUGACCCAGCAACGCCGCGUGCAGGAUGAAGGCCCUCGGGUCGUAAACUGCUGUCGGGAGGGAAGAACAGUCACGGUGAAAACAUUGCCGUGGCCUGACGGUACCUCCAAAGGAAGCGCCGGCUAACUCCGUGCCAGCAGCCGCGGUAAUACGGAGGGCGCAAGCGUUGUUCGGAAUUACUGGGCGUAAAGCGCGUGUAGGCGGUCUGGUAAGUCGGAUGUGAAAUCCCCGGGCUCAACCCGGGAACUGCAUCCGAAACUGCUGGGCUAGAGUCCCGGAGAGGAAGGCAGAAUUCCCAAUGUAGGGGUGAAAUCCGUAGAUAUUGGGAGGAAUACCAGUGGCGAAGGCGGCCUUCUGGACGGUGACUGACGCUGAGACGCGAAAGCGUGGGGAGCAAACAGGAUUAGAAACCCGGGUAGUCC
rnacentral:rRNA from 1 species